UACGUAGGGACCGAGCGUUGUCCGGAAUCAUUGGGCGUAAAGAGCGUGUAGGCGGCCAACUAAGUCCUGCGUGAAAUCUCGGGGCUCAACCCCGAGCGGUCGUGGGAAACUGGUUGGCUAGAGUGCGGGAGAGGAGAGUGGAAUUCCUGGUGUAGCGGUGAAAUGCGCAGAUAUCAGGAAGAACACCGGUGGCGAAGGCGGCUCUCUGGGCCUUACCUGACGCUGAGGAGCGAAAGCGUGGGUAGCGAACAGG
rnacentral:rRNA from 1 species